CAAUCUCAUCCACAGCCAAGCCAACCCCUGCGGAGCCCUAAGGCAGCCUGACUCUUCCCUGUCCAGGCUGGACACCACCAGGCAUGAUGAUACUGGUCCUAUGACCUCUUUCCCAGCCAUUCUCCUUCCCUCCAAAGUCCUCUCCCGGCAUUCCUGCCCCACCUAAAAACAGCACCGCCCCCUCCUCCGACUCUUAUGCCCAAUGGUCCAAGGGAGGGCCAGACUUCCAGACGCAGAACUCUCAGGGACUCCUUGAGGGUGCAGAGAUGGCUUGCUGCUGUCGCUCCACGGCUGGCAUGAGGGGAUGUGGAUGAAAGGCUCUGGAAAGUGCGCAAGCAGUUCUGAUUCUCAUCAUCCCAUGCUACUGCCUAUCAGCUCAUCUGCAGUGUGUGGCAUUAGGACCCUGAUUCCUGAGUUGCUAGAGAAUGGGUCUCUGCUCACAGAGAAGGCGCCUGAAACUAAGGCUUCCAGGAUGCGUGUGUGCACACACGGGAGCACACAUGGACACAGACGCACGCACCGUGGCCGUCCCUGGUGGCUUUGCCGUCAACUGUGC